AAGGCUUUAGCUUAAUCAAAGUAGCUGCUUUGCAUGCAGAAGAUGUGGGCUAGAGUCCUGCAAGUCUUA
rnacentral:tRNA from 1 species